UACGGGGGGGGCAAGCGUUGUUCGGAAUUACUGGGCGUAGAGGGCUCGUAGGCGGCCAACUAAGUCCGACGUGAAAUCCCUCGGCUCAACCGGGGAACUGCGUCUGAUACUGGGUGGCUUGAAUCCGGGAGAGGGAUGCGGAAUUCCAGGUGUAGCGGUGAAAUGCGUAGAUAUCUGGAGGAACACCGGUGGCGAAGGCGGCAUCCUGGACCGGCAUUGACGCUGAGGCGCGAAAGCCAGGGGAGCAAACGGG
rnacentral:rRNA from 1 species